rnacentral:SRP_RNA from 1 species
GCCGGGCUUGGUAACGCGAGCCUGUGAUCCAAGUGGAGGCGUAAGGGUGUCAGAACAUUGUUCAAGCCUACCAUGACUAGAUCAUGGCUAGCAAUCUGCUGGCCUGCCCGUUUCCAAGCGAAGAAUUGAGCCAAGUGGUUCAAGCGAAAGCAUGAGCUGCGUGGCUCUUAGAGUGGAGGGUACUGCGUCAGGCUGGAUUUACAGAGCAGCGAGAACCUCCCAUUCUUUGCAGUGGAAGGAUAACAGGCUAGUGCUUCCUGAUCCAUCAAAGUCAGAUGGGCUUGUCCAAAUUGGACUUUCACCUUUUCC